CUGCCUUGGUAAGGUCUGCUUGGCCAGUUGCUCUAGUUCCCCAGAGAUGCCCACCUCUGUUCCUAUGAAGAAACUGAGGCACAGAGUUUAAGUAAUAUGCUCAAGCUCUUGCAGCUAGCAGGGGUAAUGCGUCUUCAUUUGGAUUGCACCAGAGCAGCUCCUGAGACAAGGAUUUAAGUGCAAGUAGAGAAGCCAAGCCCUACAGGUAGCAAAGCAGACUCAGUGAUGAAGCAGACGCCCUCAAGUGAAGAUGUGCAGGUGGCCUGGCAGGAGAUCUGCACCCUUGACCACUGUGCUAUGUGACUAAGGAGCUUCCUUCCUUUGAGGAGCUCACUGUCGGGGAGCCAGAGGGACACAGGAGCCUUGAAGAAAAUCCCCCGGCCAGAGGAAGGGGCUGCGGAGCUGGAGAACCUCAGGUCUGUCUUCCCAUGUGACUGUGUUUGUACACACCGGCUGGAGAGUGUUGGUGAUGCUCAAGGCAUUUUCAGCAGAGAGAGGGGAAGAGGAUGUGGGGCUUAGGACUGGACCCACAAAAAAUUGAUGUUUAUUUGUUUUUCAAUUCUGUCUUGACCUAGUUUUGAGGCCCUGGCUAGAGGCUGGUCAGUUUUUCUUCUUGAGCAGAUAAUUAAGUUCACACUCCAAGUAGUUCCCUUAUCGGGCUUCAUGCCCCAGGGUCACUAUGCACCUGCCCUAAUCAAGCCAGGGCCAGGUACCAGACAACUAGAGAGGGCCUCUGUGCCCCAAAGCACCCCAUAAAUUACUCAAAUUAGCCAACUUCCAGGGAGCCCAAGAAAACAAGAUAACCCCAUUCUGCUUGCCAUAGGGAAGCUGUCCCUACAGCAGCUCCAGCUCAUGUUGCCCUGUCCCUGGACACAACCCUUACCUGGCCUUGCAUGGUGGCCUCUUCCUGUUUGGAGCUGUAACAAAGACCUCUCUGCCUGUCAUCUAUCCAAGUGUCAGUAUGUUGUGUCCUGCCAGUAAGAGAAUGGUGAUAUCCUCUACAACUCUCUCUGGGCUUGAAUCUCUGGUUCUGCCACUUAAUCACUGAGUGAUCCUGGGAAAAGCGCCUCACCUGUCUGAAGCUCAGUGUUCUCAUCCAUGAAAUGGGAUCAGUAAUCUAUGUCAUGAAUGGGCUGAGGAGAGGAGUCGAUGGACUGAUGCAGACAGUCUCUGGCAUAUGUUAACUCCUUCAGAGGGCUGUUUGGGCAUGAGAAAGCAGGUCUGGGGAAGCAUUUGGGGCUUGGAGUUUGGUGUCGGCAGAGAGACUUCCCAAUGACCUGGAAAUCCCAGAAUAAGAAUCUAUUUCAACCAUCAGGAAGACCCUGGCCACUUCCUGCCUUGUAAAUACCAGCAAAUGAGAUUCUCUGGAGGGUGGAGGAUGUCUUGGGAGGCUUGGGGGAGGUGCUCAGAUAAACAAACUAUCUGCGCUGUGUGUGUCCAUUGCUUUCUUGGCCUUGCACACCUCUCGGCCCACAAAUUCCAGAACACAAUUAAGUGUGCCUCUUCAACUUCAGAGAUGCUUAUGCUACAGGACAGGAAGCACACCACCUCCAAAUGGCUGUUGUGGGGGGAGACACUGCAAGGAAGAGCCUAGAGCCCCCUCCACCUCCAUCCCACUGUCUCCUUCCCCCAUGCAAGCUGUAGCAGGAAAGCCCCGUGAGACCGUCAAAAUGAAAAACACCAGCCUGUUUUCCACACAUGGGGGGAUGUCAGUGCGUCCGGAAUCAGCUAUUUUGCAACCUGUUU